CUGCUGCUUGAAAAGCUGAGAUAUGGUCUCAAUGGGACUUGGGGUUUUCCAUUAGGUCCCAGUGGCUCAUAUUUGUCUGAUUUGUUUGUAUCCACAGUGGAUUGCAUUUAUUGUAUUAGGUCAGGAAAGCUAGUUAAGUUGUGCAGAAGUCCAAUUUUAAAGGCUUGAAAGCUCUUUGUAUUUAACAUCUCACUGACCUACUCUAGCAGAGCAAUCAGAUGACCAUAGAGCCAACUACUCCUUGGGCAUCACGCUCCUGGCCUGAAUGCUCUACCUCUUGAAGGUAUGAAGCAUGGUAUGGAAUUCAAACUCUUUCCAUGGGCUGCAGAAUCUUCUUUAAGCUCCUACUUGCUUUUCUUUUUUGUGCACGAAUGAAUUGUCUGUUUGAGAUUAGAAGUGGAAUCAGAGAUACUGAAGUACCACUACAGUGGUGCUGGGACUGCACUGUACCUAAGUGAUACCAUAUGUUGGCCUGCUUCUAGCAGUUUGCUGUGUGACUACAUCAGCUCAGUAGGGAUCUGUCUGGAAAAACAGUCAGGGUGAAAAAGAAUAGCUGAAGAGAGCCUCUCUGAACAAAUGCUGACAGAGCUGCUGAGGGGCAACCCUAGAACCAUCAUCUUUGAUGGCUUUGUUUCCAAGCCAGGCAACCUACAGAAUUGGUUACAACCAGGAAAGGAAGAAGACUGUUAUAAAACACACUCAGGAAACGUCUUUGCCCUUCAUUACGCAGUCUGUAGGCAACGAUUAUCAUCAGCCUUGGAGAAGACACCCGGCCAGAAUACCAAAUACUGUGUGGUGUCAUAGUGCCUGCCAGGAAACAGCGACCUGAGACAGGAUAGAAACCGAAAGUUUGCAAAUGGUUCCAAGUUUCCUAUCUAAACCCUGUCUACUGUAUGAAGGAGUGCCGUAGAUUUCAAUGCCUGCAUAACCCUUCUUUCUGUAGGACAGACAAACACCCUACGCCCUGUCUGAACACCAAAGGCAGCAAUAACAAAAGUCUCACUGCCAGCUUUGGGCACAGGCUAAACAAUCAUCUAGCCACGCUGCGGUCUGUUGUGAAGGGAAAUAAAUCCAGUGGAAUCCUUACAGACAGGCACGUGUGGAGCAUGGCUGAUACCUCAUUUACAGCUCAUAAUUACUGAACUUAUAACAUUUCUAACUUUAAAUGGAACUCUCCUCAUGUUAUUCCUGUAGCAUUUAAUUUUGAAGACAUUUGUUUGUUCCCCUUAGGGGGCUCAAAACGUGUUAGGAUCUGAAAGAUAUUGGAUCCAGUGCUGCAGCUGCCAUCGCAACAAACAUGUAAAUAAAACAAGAAUUCUGUGAAUGGGACUCCGAAGCGGCUGUGGGGAGGAUUAGGGAUUAGUAAAGGAUGAUUCUGUCAUUGUUCUCCUAAUUGAUAAAAGACGGACCACUGUUAUUUUGAAUAAAGCUGCUACCACACAAGCCUCAAGCAACUCAACAGAAGAUCCUGUGUAAUGGAGAACGGCUUCUGGAUGCUGACUGUGUUCCUGUGAAGUUACUGUACUCUGAGUACACAAGAGUUAGCAGCACAGUGAGGCAGUACCUCUGCUCCCUCUUCUAAAGCUUAAUUGAAAAAAUUACUUUCAGAAGAAUCCACUUCAUUUUUCCUCUACUGAUUUCCUCUCCUGAGCUGCCUCUCCCCUACUGCAUCCCUGCCAUGUGCUCUGUGCUCAUUACUCCUGCCUGCCCAGGCACUGCCCCUUCCCCAACCCAGAGGACCUGGAGCCAAAGCAAAGCAUCUCUGCAUGAUCCCCUCUUGCAGCAGCCUUCCAUUCAAAGCUUCUUCAGCUCCUGAACUUGAUGUCAGGCACACUGAUGUUUACAGCAGCAGCCAAGUCAGUUGGGUUAGAUUACAAAGAGCUCAGGAUAGCUUUACAAGGUGUACUUAGAAAGGUAUGCCUAUAUUUACCCUGAACAUCAGCACUUCUGUUGAAUAUAGCUGCACAUUUAGAUAGAAUUCAACAGACAACAUAUGAAAAGGAGAAGCACGCACAGUGCGUAAGCAUCAUCCUAAUGCAGAGGUCAUAUUUUAGAGGACAAAAAGGAGGUGCCUGCCUACUCAGAAGAGUCAUCUGUUAAUUCAAAGGAGAUGUAAAGAUGGGAUUCAGAAGCAGCUGCAAGGCCUCUGAGCACAUCUUUGCAUAGACCUUAGUAACCUGGCCUUCUAGGAGCUCCUAAGUCCAACCAGGGAACUGUGGUGGGAUCGUAUGUGCUACACAUCCCAAAUGGGGCUGGUGCCCUAUGAGCUUUGGCCAAAUUCCACUGUGCCAGCAUUUGGAGAUGAUGUGUAAGGUGAGGACCAGCCCAGUCCUUUGAAGUUGAAAGGACGACAGGUUGGUUUAGAUGUGGCACCAUCUAUCUGGUUGGGGGCAUUGGCCUCAGGCUGAGGAGAAGGAGAAAUCACCUGGGAUAAGGAAGGAUGAGAGCCACCAAAGAGCCUGGGAGGUUGUACUCCGACACCUAAAUACUGUACAAAGUUAGACAAAAUGCAUCAAGUAAAUUCUCACGAAGCAGCAUGUCUUGCCUCCUUCCCGGCUUCAUCAUGGAAAUAUUUAUGUCCUCCCAGGGCUGCCAAAUUUGCUUUUAAUACCAGUGUGUGGACUCAAAACCAUACCACAUCCAGUUGAAACUGGCUUUUGGGUACAGGCUCUGAGGAAGGUUUAGGCCCAUGCACACCAGAUGACAAAUGGCCAUCUUUGAACACGAGCUGCUCUCCUUUCCUCCCUCCCCAAAAGCACGUGUGUAAACAAACCAGCCCAAGGAAGAGGCUCUGAUUUUCCUUGCAUUCUUCCAGCUUGAAUCUCCUGUCGUUUCCCCCAUGUCAGUCAGGGGAAAAAAAAAGAAGAGCUCUGUUUGUUGUUGUUUGGCAGCUGCUCCUGAGCCUGCAUGAGAAGCGAGGAGGGCUGUGCUGGGGAAAUCUGACUCCAGUGCCACGAGGACCUGCAGGGAAACAAGAACUGCUGGAUAUGUCCAGAGGAGCCAAAUGGUUGCAGUGGUGCCCUGCAAGUCUGAGGGAAGCAUUUGGUCACAGCAUGACAACCUCUGUGCGCUGAGGUCCUGCAGCACUCCAUGAAGUUCCCCAGCAGCUGGUUGAAAUAGCUCUGCUCGCAAAGCCACUUUCCAGUAAGCAUGCACUGCAUGGCAGGGAUAGAAACACCAUUCAGAGUUCCACUUAAGCCAGAGAUACAGAUGUACCCUUUAGGGUUUUUUUUUUGUUUUUUUUUUUUUUGUUUUGUUUUUUAGUGGCAUUUAUUCACUGCUCUGUUGAGUUUUCCAGGCGAUGGCUGCCAGCCAUACUAAAAUAAUUGUGUGACUUUGCAAAAACAAUUCAUUUUUCACUGCUUCUCCAGCACUGCCAGCUCUCUGUGGCUUUUUAGCAAAUGUCGUGCUCUUUGGUCAUUUGCCUAGACUUACAUGGGCUUAACCACAGAAGCUCAGCCUUCACCAAAGAACACAUCCUUCGCCCAGAAGUUGGAGGAGGUGAUCCCCAAACCCAUGGCGCUCAGCUCCCCUCCCGCAAGGUGUAGCCCACCAGCACACCCCACAUCAGGGUGCAGCCCCUCUAAUGGCACUGAACAACAGUUUUCACUGUCGUGGUCUGCGGGGCUCCUGGGAACAGAGCACAAUGAGACAUUUACCAGCACAAUGGGACGUUUGCUGGAGGGCUGCCGGUGCGCGUUGGGCACAGCUGGCACGGCACGUGCUGCCCGCUCACCGCGCUCACGCUCACAGCUGCACAUUGGCCCAGCUCUGCCCUGCUGGGGAAGGAGCAAAAAUUAAAAGAAAAAAAAAAAAAAAAACAAAAAAAGGUUCAGCAAAGGAAAGAUUAAGCCUUCCAGAAGGAAGUAAAUUAUUUGAAUGAAAGCAUUUCAAGGAAGUGAUUUUAUCGCUCUGAAAUUUUAUCCAUCCUUUGAAAAAUAAACAACCCCGGUAACUACUUUUUCAGGCUAGGUUUUGCUGGCAAGUUUUAUCUGCAGAGAGGAUUAGCUUACCCGUGGAUGGGACGUGCUGCACACACCCUGUUCCCAUGCAGAUCCACGCGGAGGGGAGCUGCCUUCCAGCGCAGUGCUAGGACAUUUUUAUGUAGCUACAUCAAAUGACUGCAAAGACCAUUAGGACAGUUUAUCGUUGGAAUCUGCAGGAACAUACUGUACCCAAAAGGAAAACGCUCACUGAUAGGGGAAGUGCAGAAUUUGUGAUCCUUGUAAUUAUGCAGAUGAUCCUCUACAAAGGGCUGCAGUAUGUGAGUGAGUCUGCAGUGAAGGCUCCUGGCUGCAGUGCUCCCACCAUGCUCUGCCACCCAGCUGCUCCCGCUCCAGGUCUGCUGGCUGCAGCCCAGCCUGGCACAUCACCAUGAAAAGUUUUUUUUCCUCAUUGGAGAUUUGUAAAAUUCCAACAUGCAAAAGACUCUUUGAAAUACUGCUUUUUGGGGCAAUUUCUGCUGUUGCUGCAUUGAGCCCUUGUAGAAGUUUGCACCUUGCAGCUCACCGUGGCGGAGACACUGGACACAUAGGAGGUGAUCAACCUUCAUGGAAUGGUAGAAACAUGGAAUUCAUUGAAUCAUUAAGGUUGGAAGAGACCAUUAAGAUCAUCUGGUCCAACUGUCAACCCACCGUGUCCAUUAACUACAUCCCUCGGUGCCACAUAUACAUGGUUCUUGAACACCUCCAGGGACAGUGACUCCACCACCUCCCUGGGCCUGUGCCACUGCAUUACCACUCUUUCUGAGAAGAGUGUCCACCUCACCUGGAACAACCUGGGGCCAUUCCCUCUAGUUCUAUCACUGUUACCUGAGAGAAGAGGCCAAUCCUCACCUCACUACAAUCUCCUUUCAGGCAGUUGUGGAGAAUAAGGUCUCCCCUGAACAAUCUCAGUUCCCUCAGCUGCUCCCCAAUAAGACUUGUGCUCCAGACCCUUCACAGCUUUGUUGUCUUUGUCUGGAUACACUCCAGGGUUUUAAUGUCUUUCUCGCUGUGAGGAGCCACACUUUUCAGAGCAAGGUGCCAUUGCCACCACCAACAUAGGCAGGCACUACACAGGUCAGUCACUUCCUCCAAAAGUAUUCCCCCAGUAGCUGGCCCAGGGAAGUAUCCCUUGACAUAAAUACCAAAGGCAAAAAGAAAGUCCUCUUCUCCCACAGCAGUGUUUCAGCUCGGAGUGCUGCCAGAUACGAAGAGCUGCAUGCUUACCAGUAUGAAACGAAACUCACGUGCUAAAAACCUGGAAGGUUUCCAGGCAGGAAAAUCACCCUGGGAUAUUUGCACUGUAAUUUCUUAUACGAGGUCUGCAGACAUCCAAAAGAAUUAGGAACUCGAUGAUGUUCUCCUCAAGGGUCUGGGAAUAUAUGAGUAGGGUCAGUGGGCACCACAGAGGUGUACAGCCCUGCAAGCUCUACUGCUGGUGUCCCACAUCACCAUGUGAAUGCCAUGCUCCUCCUAGACAUGCUCUGUACCCAUAUAAACCACACCUGCUGUGUUCCCAUAAAAAUCUGACAGAGAACCUAGAGCAUCCUGAGGCUACAGGGCUGCACAUCUCUCACAACCCCAGGGCAGCUUUUCAGUGCAGAAUACAAUCUCUGCAUAUACCACAUUAUCAGAAAAAGCAGAGUUUGAUAUUAAGCAGGGAAUGUUGGCUCCUAACCUGGUUGCUUAUGGUGGUGUUUAGGACGUGGGCCCAUCACUGCCCUUGUGAGAACUCCUUGUGCUGGGUUGUGCUCUACCACGUUCAGCAAAACUCUUCCCAUUAGCACCGGGGCAGGCAGGACAGAAGGGAGUCGAGAAGCUGCUGUUCCAGUUUUCCUGAUAAGGACCCGGAGGGAGUGGAGAAAAAGCAUUUUGCACAAGGCCAUGAGAGACAACUGUUUCAAAUCUGGGAAACAAGCCUGAAUCUCUUGACUCCCCAGUGCCUUUUCCUCUUUGUCGGUAACCUGACAGAGUUUUCAGGCUCUGGGAGCUGAGGCUUCCUAUCUGCAGGGCAGAGGGCAGCCAGACUGAUGCAGAGUGAGGCUUUGCUGCCCAGCUCCUUGACAGAGCCCAUGGGACUUGUGCUGAUAUGAUUUGCACAUGCAGCUGGGCACACCAUGUAAACUGCAGUGGGAUGGCACUUUUGAUAAGGGGACAGCCUGGACUGGCUUUUGGUAAAGUGUCAAAAGCCCUCAGUUCUUCGUACCCCAGGCUCUGCAUUUCCAGUGCAGGCCUUCUGGGAGCAAUGUGCUAUUAAUAGUUACCCAUGCAGCUAUAAGCUAUAGGGGAGGGAAAUGAAGAUUGCACAGGAAGAAUUUAAACAGCGGGGCACGUUCAAGGGACAGAACAACAAGUGCUGGUAGCCUACUACAGGUACCAUUGCAGGAGUCAGAAUACGGAUGUCAGGGACCUUCUGCAGUGCCGACUGCCAAACAUAAAACUAGAUACAUCCUAUUCCCACAGUAUAACAUUGCAACAGACAGCUGCAAGGCAAGAGUGAAGGCUGUUGUGCAAAAGCAUGGUUGGAAGACUUGUUGCUGAAGGGAUAGGUGGAUGUUCAGAGCAGAAACCAGAAUUUAUUGGUAGAAUGCAGCCCCUGAGCAUGGUUUAUGUGCCAACAGGCUAUUUAUACGAGAAAAGACUUAGCUGAGCUAGUUCUUGUGCUGGAAGCCUGCAAGAUAAAGAGCCACUCAUCCAGGAGUGCCCCAGAGAGACGUGACCCUGAGAAAUGCAUUUAAUGGGGGUGACACACUAUUUAGUUGCUGUGAUAGGACAAGGGGAAAUGGCUUCAAACUAAAAGACAAGAGAUUUAGACUGGGUAUAAUAAAGAAGUUUUUUACAGUAAGGGUGGUGAAGCACUGGAACAGGUUGCCCAGAGAGUGAUGAAUGCCUUUUUCCAGGAGACAUUCAAGGCCAGGCUGGAUGGGGUUCUGAGCACCUGAUCUAGCUGUUGGUGUCCCCAUUCAUUGCAAGGGAGCUAGACUAGGUGAACUCUAUGAGUCCUUCCAACAAAGAGUUCUAUUAUUCUAUUAUUCUAUUUUACUACUAUUCUAUUAUUCUGACACAUUUUCUUGUAUCUUGGGGAGCAUUCUUGCUAAGGUGUUCAAUUUCACAGCACCAGUGAACCUCCCAUUGCUCAACCUUGGGACUGUAGGGUGGGGGCUCAGAGGCCCCAUGGUCAGGACUUACAAGGAUGGGCACUGUCAUGCUGGAUCAGCAGCCCUUCACUAACAUGGGGCUCUGCUCUUUUUGUUCUGCAGAUUGCCAUGCCCAAAGCAUAGAAACAUAUAUAUUUGUGCAUGUAUGUAUAUAUGCCUGAGCCUAUAAGAAGUCAAACAAAGCAUUACAAAUGUACAGUGAAGAAAUAACAGUCUGCCUUCUCUGAUUAUACGGCCUGAUUUACUGGGCUAAACAAUAGGUUUAUUGCUCUGUGCUACGUAAUUGUUAUUAGAGGAUGCAUCUGGUCUCUGAGUAGAAAUGAACUUUUGUGAAGGCAAAGUAUUCCAAGGAAGAAAACAAUUAUCAAACCAGAUCUAUAUAAGUCCAAAAAAAAAAAAAAAAAAAAAGAAAGAAAGAAAAAGCUGGAAGAAGUCAAAUAAAUUUUAAAUGAUGCAUACUUGUAGAGGCUGUAGGAGAAUGUGUGGCUCUUCAAUAUCAUAGUAGCCAAACCAUGACUGCCCACUGGAGACUUCUCCAUUUCUUUCUCAGAUACAGAGUCACAGUCACUUUUGAGAUUGCUAGAGAUUGUCAAAGCUUGCAAAAAUAACAAAUUCUGCUAAGUACCUGGAUAAAUGUCCAGGGCAGAAAGUGGGUCUGCAGCCUGCCUGAGCUAGAAGGUGUCUGUGGGUGGGAAGAGGAGCUUGUUGCUCCUGGGCGGCAGGCCGCAUUAGGCCAUGCUGCCUGGUGUAGAACUGGGGACUCAGCAAUGUUGUUGCAUGGCUGUCAGCACGUAUUGCUGUGACAGGUUUGUGACAAACCGGAGGAAAAAAAAACCAAAAAACCAAGCAAGCCCACAGCAGACUUAAGGAGAUUAAAAGGACUGAGUGGUUAGACCCCACUUGGGUCUUUCUCAGUUUUUUAAUGAGGCAUAAAAGGGGCCUUUGAAGGUAGGCUUUGAUUUCUCUUUUUCCUGCUUGUUUUGCUGCAUUAGAAAUUUAGAUUGCCCUUGCUUUCCCAGGAAGGCUCAAGUGUGAACAACUUCCAGCAGCACAGGAGCCCUGCAGCCACCAGCAGCCUCUUUCUCCGGGCUGCCAAUGGCCAUGGCACCCAACGUGCUGCCUUCCUCACAGCGCUCCCAAGGGCAGCACUUUCAGUAGCAAUGAGCUAUUUUUGUCACUCACCCCACGACAUCCUCUAAGGAGGUCAGGUUUUUGGAACUGAUGAGCAUGAAAGAAGUCAAGUCUUCCCAAGGUUCUUCAACAUGGCAGCCAGAAAUGAAGGCUUUCCACACAAACGGCCUAUAUAACCUGUAGGAUGACGUAUAUGAAAGCUGUGGUUAGAGGAAGAGUUUGAACAGCAGACUCUAGGAGAAUAAUUUUGCACCAUUUUUGAACAUACACUCAUGUCUGGAUACCUCAUACUGCAGAGGAGCUCAUCAAUGAGGAAGAUGAAAAUUGAUUGCUUCUUCCAUGGACUGGGGAUUUCAAGCUGUCACACUCAUGUCUGUGUCCUACCAAACGGUUCUGUCGUGUCCAGGCAUGCGAGAAAAUGUGAGUCAUGUCCCUUUGAAACCAGGAACUGAGCUUGGAAAAGUACCCUUUUUCUGAAAAAAGAAAGUGCUGACAUCCUUAUUUUUCUCUCUAUAACUGUUAGAGUUACGGCUUUGGAAGAAAAUGAUGCAUUUUUAAGAAAAAUCAAAUGUAAGAUUUUUACGUCUUCCUGUGAUUCUAGAUGAUGUCUUGUGAGAUCCGUCAUGCUGCAAUGCCUGCACUUAAUUCAUGAGGCUUAGAGACUGGGAACUGGAUACACAAUUGUCUUAUAAAAAUGCAAACAAAUCAAAAAGGUCUUCAGUUUUUCUUCACAGCAACAAAGAGCUUAAUAGAGAAAAGAUGUUAAUACUGAAACUUCUGUGUUUCUGCCUCGCUCUGUUUCUUAUACCAGCCUCCAUAAGUUUCUAGUUUCCUCUACUGAAGCAAAAAAGCACAG
ensembl:lncRNA